GUUUCCGGGUCGGCCCCUACCCCGGCCCGACACACCUCCAGUCUCAGCGUUUGGGUGCGUUUGAUUCGUCUGGUGUCCGGGGAGCCGGGCUGCUUCCUCGGGGCUUCAAGUUAAAUGUUUCGGACAACUCCAGCAGGUCAAGGAAUACUUCCCUGGGUCUCUUCAGAUGGAAAAAGAGAUUCCUGGUCCCUGAAGAGCUGUUGUAAAGUGAGCAGAGCCUCACUAAGAUCAAUGGAAUCCUCAUCUGGAACUCACCUACUCACAGCAGUGGCGAUAGUGGUACUCCUGCCUCAUCACUGUGUCAUGAAUUUUGAAACAACAACAACGACAGAAACAAGAGUGUCGUGGGUCUUAAUUUCUGGCAAUUGAAAGUCUA